rnacentral:rRNA from 1 species
AGUGAACGCUGGCGGCGUGCUUAACACAUGCAAGUCGAACGAGAACGGGUUAUAGCUUGCUAUAAUUGUCAGCUAAGUGGCGCACGGGUGAGUAAUGUAUAGGUAAUAUGCCUCUUACUAAGGGAUAACAAAUGGAAACGUUUGCUAAUACCUUAUACUCCUUAUUAACAUAAGUUAAUAAGGGAAAGAUUUAUUGGUAAGAGAUUAGCCUGUAUUGUAUCAGUUAGUUGGUGGGGUAAUGGCUUACCAAGACUAUGACACAUAACUGGUUUGAGAGGAUGAUCAGUCACACUGGAACUGAGACACGGUCCAGACUCCUACGGGAGGCAGCAGUGGGGAAUAUUGCACAAUGGACGAAAGUCUGAUGCAGCAACGCCGCGUGGAGGAUGACACAUUUCGGUGCGUAAACUCCUUUUUAUAUGAGAAGAUAAUGACGGUAUUAUAUGAAUAAGCACCGGCUAACUCCGUGCCAGCAGCCGCGGUAA